rnacentral:rRNA from 1 species
UACAGAGGUCUCAAGCGUUGUUCGGAUUCAUUGGGCGUAAAGGGUGCGUAGGCGGCGCGGUAAGUCGGGUGUGAAAUCUCGGGGCUUAACUCCGAAACUGCAUUCGAUACUGCCGUGCUUGAGGACUGGAGAGGAGACUGAAAUUCAUGGUGUAGCAGUGAAAUGCGUAGAGAUCAUGAGGAAGACCAGUGGCGAAGGCGGGUCUCUGGUCAGUUCCUGACACUGAGACACGAAGGCCAGGGGAGCAAACGGG